rnacentral:rRNA from 1 species
UACGAAGGGGGCUAGCGUUGUUCGGAAUUACUGGGCGUAAAGGGCGCGUAGGCGGUUAUGUAAGUCAGAUGUGAAAGCCCCGAGCUUAACUUGGGAACAGCAUUUGAUACUGCGUGACUAGAGUACGAGAGAGGAAAGUGGAAUUGCGAGUGUAGAGGUGAAAUUCGUAGAUAUUCGCAAGAACACCAGUGGCGAAGGCGACUUUCUGGCUCGUAACUGACGCUAAGGCGCGAAAGCGUGGGGAGCAAACAGG